rnacentral:rRNA from 1 species
GAUGAACGCUGGCGGCGUGCCUAAUACAUGCAAGUCGAGCGAACGGACGAGAAGCUUGCUUCUCUGAUGUUAGCGGCGGACGGGUGAGUAACACGUGGAUAACCUACCUAUAAGACUGGGAUAACUUCGGGAAACCGGAGCUAAUACCGGAUAAUAUUUUUAACCGCAUGGUUCAAAAGUUAAAGACGGUCUUGCUGUCACUUAUAGAUGGAUCCGCGCUGCAUUAGCUAUUUGGUAAGGUAACGGCUUACCAAGGCAACGAUGCAUAGCCGACCUGAGAGGGUGAGCGGCCACACUGGAACUGAGACACGGUCAAGACGCCUACGGGAGGCAGCAGUAGGGAAUAUUCCGCAAUGGGCGAAAGCAUGACGGAGCAACGCCGCGUGAGUGAUGAAGGUCUUCGGAUCGUAAAACUCUGUUAUUAGGGAAGAACAUAUGUGUAAGUAACUGUGCACAUCUUGACGGUACCUAAUCAGAAAGCCACGGCUAACUACGUG